GUACAGACUACCCAGCAAUCCAAGUAAUAGAUGAUACGUUUAUCAAUGGUAGGAGCCAUCCAGGCAUUGUUCCAGAAAUUUGUGGAAAUUCUAUGUAUAUAUGGAAAACAAAUAUGGUGGAGGAGGUUAAUUAAAAGCAAGAACACAUGCCAAGUUCUUGAGACACAGUAAAGAUGACUGAACCAGACAGGUUUGUAGAAUCUUUUGAAAAGUAAUGAGGUGUGAUUCAGACAAUUAUAUGGCUUCAGAAUGGAAGAUUUUAGAUACAGGAUAAUUGCAUCUCCCUUGUGCUGGUUCCAGUUAGUAUCUCUGUUACAGUUGUGUAACCGGUUUACCAGAAUGCUGUCUGGAAUAACUGUUGGUAGGAUAGCAAUCUUUUCUUAAUCUCAUGCAAGCUGGUUUUUAAUGAAUGUGUAGAGAAGUAUAGUUU